rnacentral:tRNA from 1 species
GGAUUGUAGCUCAGUGGUAGAGUGGUUGCCUAGCAUAUGUGAGGCACUGAGUUCGAUUCUCAGCACCA